rnacentral:rRNA from 1 species
CGAAAGCCUGACGGAGCCAGACCGCGUGGGGGAGGAAGGCCCUUGGGUUGUAAACCCCUUUUCUCAGGGAAGAAACCUGACGGUACCUGAGGAAAAAGCCUCGGCUAACUCCGUGCCAGCAGCCGCGGUAAUACGGAGGAGGCAAGCGUUAUCCGGAAUUACUGGGCGUAAAGCGUUCGUAGGGGGCUCGUCAAGUCUGCUGUCAAAGCUCGGAGCUCAACUCCGACCCGGCAGUGGAAACUGGAUAGCUAGAGGUCGGUAGGGGCAAAGGGAAUUCCCAGUGUAGCGGUGAAAUGCGUAGAGAUCGGGAAGAACACCGGUGGCGAAAGCGCUCUACUGGGUCGCACCUGACCCUCAGGGACGAAAGCUAAGGUAGCG